rnacentral:tmRNA from 1 species
GGGGAUGCAAAUAAGAAUCGACGGAAAUUCUUCCUUUAUCAAGGCGGGCCGAGUUUGCUAGAAUCUCGAUAAACUUCUAGCAAAACUUAAUGCCAACGAACCUUCUCUUGCAUUAGCAGCUUGCUAAUGCCAUCUGCCUGCCUGUCCUCGCUCAGGCAGAGUCAGGUGUCAUAUUAAGCGAGGGAAGUACUUUUAUCUCUUCAUUUAAAUGGUUGUCAGUUUACCUUAAACUGACUACGCCCGUAGAUUUGGUAAAGGGGAAUUUCCGGACGGGAGUGCAAUUCUCCCCAUCUCCAAAU